GUCGCAGGGCAGCCCCGGGGCCCGGCCGCAGCCCCUGCCCCUGCCCGGGCAGAGCGGGCCGAAGGGCGAUUUACGGACAACGGCAGUAAUACCGGUCCCCCGCGGGGCUUCACGCGGUCAGCACCUCCCGUCAUCAGGCGCUGAUGCGGGGGUCGGUUCCUGCGGUGGAUGAGCUAACCUCAGCCGCCGGGAGGAAAAAAACAACAUACAGCAGCGCUACCGGGGGAUUACCAUUUGGGCUGAACAUUAUCCUAGGCUGCAGCAGAAGGACUUUUCCUGUGUUUGCCUUCAUACCGCAUCCAGAGCCCUCAGCACUACAAAUGUGAGCUUCUGGCAUAGAAGGAAGACCAAGGAGGAAGUAUGGGGGCCCAUACACUAACCAGUUCAGCACUCCAGCGAAUGCUACAUCCUCAGGAAGAAACCAUGGCCUCUCCACAGAAGCGCACCAGCUUUUUCAGAAAAAGGACAAUUCUCUUAAGGAAGUGAAACUGAAGCCUUCUGUCAGAAAGCUGCAGACAGAGAGGAACACAUCAUUAUAAUGCUGAUAGAGCAUCAAGUAAGACUACUGAAGGAAAUAUCAUCAGUUGUCCUCUGGGCAUUCUUUUUAUAUUCGAUGGACCAGAACAUUGUCACAGGAUAAUGGUUGUCUGCCGCCUUGCCCCUAUUAAAUUAAAUUAAAUAUUUGAUUGGAACUUUCCUACUUGCUCUCUGUAGAAAUAAAAAAUGAU